rnacentral:rRNA from 1 species
GACGAACGCUGGCGGCGUGCUUAACACAUGCAAGUCGAACGGAAAGGCCCUGCUUUUGUGGGGUGCUCGAGUGGCGAACGGGUGAGUAACACGUGAGUAACCUGCCCUUGACUUUGGGAUAACUUCAGGAAACUGGGGCUAAUACCGGAUAUGAGCUCCUGCUGCAUGGUGGGGGUUGGAAAGUUUCGGCGGUUGGGGAUGGACUCGCGGCUUAUCAGCUUGUUGGUGGGGUAGUGGCUUACCAAGGCUUUGACGGGUAGCCGGCCUGAGAGGGUGACCGGCGACAUUGGGACUGAGAGACGGCCCAGACUGCUACGGGAGGCAGCAGUGGGGAAGAUUGCACAAUGGGCGGAAGCGUGAUGCAGAAACGCCGCGUGCGGGAUGACGGCCUUCGGGUUGUAAACCGCUUUAGCCUGUGACGAAGCGUGAGUGACGGUAAUGGGUAAAGAAGCACCGGCUAACUACGUG